CACAUGCAAGUCGAACGGUAACAGAACUAGCUUGCUAGUUGCUGACGAGUGGCGCACGGGUGAGUAACGCGUGGAUAUCUGCCUAUUAGUGGGGGACAACUUGUGGAAACGCAAGCUAAUACCGCAUAAUCCCUACGGGGGAAAGCAGGGGACCUUCGGGCCUUGUGCUGAUAGAUGAGUCCGCGUCUGAUUAGCUAGUUGGUAAGGUAAAGGCUUACCAAGGCGAUGAUCAGUAUCUGGUUUGAGAGGAUGAUCAGACACACUGGAACUGAGACACGGUCCAGACUUCUACGGAAGGCAGCAGUGGGGAAUAUUGCACAAUGGGCGCAAGCCUGAUGCAGCGACGCCGCGUGUGGGAAGAAGGCCUUCGGGUUGUAAACCACUUUCAAUUGGGAAGAAGGGAUGAGAGUUAAUAACUUUCUGACUUGACGGUACCUUUAGAAGAAGCACCGGCUAAUUUCGUGCCAGCAGCCGCGGUAAUACGAAAGGUGCAAGCGUUGUUCGGAUUUACUGGGCGUAAAGAGAGUGUAGGUGGUUUAUUAAGUCGGAUGUGAAAUCCCGGGGCUCAACCUCGGAACUGCAUUCGAUACUGAUAGGCUAGAGUUUGGGAGGGGUAAGCGGAAUUCCGUGUGUAGCAGUGAAAUGCGUAGAUAUACGGAGGAACACCUGAGGCGAAGGCGGCUUACUGGACCAAUACUGACACUGAGACUCGAAAGCGUGGGUAGCAAACAGGAUUAGAUACCCUGGUAGUCCACGCCCUAAACGAUGUCAACUAGCCGUUGCGGGUAUCGACCCCUGCAGUGGCGAAGCUAACGCGAUAAGUUGACCGCCUGGGGAGUAC
rnacentral:rRNA from 1 species